CUCAUCUGCCCUGAAUUUGGGAAGUCAAGACUUCCAGAAACCUUCAGGCAGGAGUCUGCCCCAGGAGGCUGGCCUCAUGGCAGCUACUCUCCAUUCUUCCCCAUCAGCCUUCUGACACCACCACAUCCCCAAGGCCUGGCACAGCACCAGGCAUGUGGUGUUAUGGGAAGUGAAUCAGACCAGAGACCCUGGAAUCCACAGGCUUCCACUGCUCAGUGAGGAACCUUGGCAGG